rnacentral:lncRNA from 1 species
AAAUUUUAUUUUGGCCAGGAGCUGAAGUUGGUUGUUUAGUAGUAGUAGUUUGAGUAGUGACCGAAGUAGUAGUCUGGUGUGUGGGUGGGGCAGCUGUGGUCUCUGGUGGAGCUGAGGCGGAUGAUGGGUCUAGGGUAGUUGCAGAAGGUGUGGGUGGGGCAGCUGUGGUCUCUGGUGGAGCUGAGGAAGAUGGUGGAGCUGGUGUAGUUGCAGGAGGUGUGGGUGGGGCAGCUGUGGUGUCUUGUGGAGCUGGGGAAUUCACUGGUGCUAAUGUAGCUACAGAAGAGCUUGUGUUAACAUUUUCUCUUGAAGAUAUGGUGGUGGCAUUCUGGGGAAGAAAAGUCACAUUUGGAAGGGUAGUAAUUUUGGUGGAAGCUUAGGCCUACAGCGUUUGUGCAGACAUUUAUAGGACUUUCUAAUGAACGGCUUCUGGUGAGCUAGCA